GGAGAGGUGUCGGAGCGGCUUAUCGAGCAGCCUUGGAAAGGCUGUGCAGGGUUUACCCUGCCGCGGGUUCGAAUCCCGCCCUCUCCG
rnacentral:tRNA from 1 species